UAUAGCAAAAGAUGGGAACAAUAGCCAAAGUGUCGCGUUUGAGCUCUCUCGUCACAUUUCUACUAUUAGUAUUUGUGUCUCUUGAUUUACCAUCAAAAACCAGAGCAUCAUCCUCUUACUCUCCAGCACCACUACCAACUAAACAACCAUCUCCUCCUCCGCGUUCUAUCCAUCAUAUCAAGCCUCCGGCUUCUCACUCACCACCACCUAGAGUGCCUUACUUUCCUUAUUACCAUAAAAACCUUUCCCCGCCUCCACCAACGCCCGUUUACAAGUACAAUUCUCCGCCACCUUCUCCUCCAAUGCACUUGCCUCGACCUAUUGUGCCUUACUUUCCUAAUUACUACCACGGACCACCACCACCACCAUACGCUUAUAAACGCCCACCACCUCUACCACCUCCACCCCCAGUGCACUCACGACCUAUUGUGCCUUACUUUCCUUAUUACUAUCAUGGACCUCCAUCACCACCCAAGUACAAGUCGAAGUCUCUACCACCUUCUACUCCAAUACACUCGCCCCCACAAAAUUAUCACCACUCACCUCGACCGACUGUGCCUUACUUUCCUUUUUACUACCUCGGACCACCCCCACCACCACCACGACACAAGUACAAGUCUCCCACGCCCCCCAAGCAUCAUUAGUAUUACCCUCCUCCCCACGACCAAGAAGCACGUCCUCUGCUAAGCCACAUUUAUAGGAGCAGAGGAUUGUGCAAAGCACUGGCAAACGUAGAUGAUGAAGAAAUAUAACAGCGUGCAGUAUAUUAGCAGCGUCUAUGUACUAUUCCUUAUUUGCUUAUUGUUGGAACUGAUAUGUAUGUGCAAAACGUAUUGAUGAACCCUCGAAAUAGAGGUUCAUGUGUAAUUGCUUAGACAGUCGGUAAAUCAAUCUGCAGUACUAUUUAGUGUUCUUGUUCAAUAAAGCUAAAGCUGAUUCCUGAA